rnacentral:rRNA from 1 species
UACGUAGGUGGCGAGCGUUAUCCGGAUUUACUGGGUGUAAAGGGCGCGUAGGCGGGCUUUUAAGUCUGAUGUGAAAUCCCGAGGCUUAACCACGGAACUGCAUUGGAAACUGGAAGUCUUGAGUGCUGGAGAGGAAAGCGGAAUUCCUAGUGUAGCGGUGAAAUGCGUAGAUAUUAGGAGGAACACCAGUGGCGAAGGCGGCUUUCUGGACAGUAACUGACGCUGAGGCGCGAAAGCGUGGGGAGCAAAC